rnacentral:tRNA from 1 species
GGGUAGCUUAAUUGGAAAAGCAGCAGACUGAGAAUCUGUAUAUCUUGGUUCGAAUCCAAGCCUUGUAA